UACAUAUCUUUAAAAC
rnacentral:sRNA from 1 species